GACGAACGCUGGCGGCGUGCCUAAUACAUGCAAGUAGAACGCUGAAGGAGGAGCUUGCUUCUCUGGAUGAGUUGCGAACGGGUGAGUAACGCGUAGGUAACCUGCCUGGUAGUGGGGGAUAACUAUUGGAAACGAUAGCUAAUACCGCAUAAUAGCAGUUGUUGCAUGAUAACUGUUUGAAAGGUGCAAUUGCACCGCUACCAGAUGGACCUGCGUUGUAUUAGCUAGUUGGUGGGGUAACGGCUCACCAAGGCGACGAUACAUAGCCGACCUGAGAGGGUGAUCGGCCACACUGGGACUGAGACACGGCCCAGACUCCUACGGGAGGCAGCAGUAGGGAAGCGUCGGCAAUGGACGGAAGUCUGACCGAGCAACGCCGCGUGAGUGAAGAAGGUUUUCGGAUCGUAAAGCUCGGUUGUAAGAGAAGAACGAGUGUGAGAGUGGAAAGUUCACACUGUGACGGUAUCUUACCAGAAAGGGACGGCUAACUACGUG
rnacentral:rRNA from 1 species